rnacentral:rRNA from 1 species
CUUGGUUGAUCCUGCCAGUAGUCAUAUGCUUGUCUCAAAGAUUAAGUCAUGCAUGUGUAAGUAUGAACUAAUUCAGACUGUGAAACUGCGAAUGACUCAUUAAAUCAGUUAUAGUUUGUUUGAUGGUAUCUACUACUCGGAUAACCAUAGUAAUUCUAGAGCUAAUACGUGCAACAAACCUCGACUUCUGGAAGGGAUGCAUUUAUUAGAUAAAAGGUUGACGCGGGCUCUGCCCGUUGCUCUGAUGAUUCAUGAUAACUCGACGGAUCGCACAGCCAUCGUGCUGGCGACGCAUCAUUCAAAUAUCUGCCCUAUCAACUUUCGAUGGAAGGAUAGUGGCCUAUCAUGGUGGUGACGGGUGACGGAGAAUUAGGGUUCGAUUCCGGAAGGGAGCCUGAGAAACGGCUACCACAUCCAAGAAAGGCAGCAGGCGCGCAAAUCACCCAAUCUUGACACGGGGAGGUAGUGACAAUAAAUAACAAUACCGGGCUCUUAGAGUAUGGUAAUUGGAAUGAGUACAAUCUAAAUCCCUUAACGAGGAUCGAUUGUAGGGCAAGUCUGGUGCCAGCAGCCUCGGUAAUUCCAGUUCCAAUAGCGUAUAUUUAAGUUGUUGCAGUUAAAAAGCUCGUAGUUGGACCUUGGGUUGGGUCGACCAGUCCGCCUCUGGUGUGCACCGGUCGGCUCGUCCCUUCUACCGGCGAUACGCUCCUAGCCUUAAUUGGCCGGAUCGUGCCUCCAGUGCUGUUACUUUGAAGAAAUUAGAGUGCUCAAAGCAAGCCUACACUUUGGAUAUAUUAGCAUGGGAUAACAUCAUAGGAUUUUGGUCAUAUUCUGUUGGCCUUCGGGAUCGGAGUAAUGAUUAACAGGGAUAGUCGGGGGCAUUCAUAUUUCAUAGUCAGAGGUGAAAUUCUUGGAUUUAUAAAAGACGAACAACUGCGAAAGCAUUUGCCAAGGAUGUUUUCAUUAAUCAAGAACGAAAGUUGGGGGCUCGAAGACGAUCAGAUACCGUCCUAGUCUCAACCAUAAACGAUGCCGACCAGGGAUCGGUGAAUGUUUCUUAGGACUCCGCCGGCACCUUAUGAGAAAUCAAAAUUUUUGGGUUCCGGGGGGAAGUAUGGUCGCAAGGCUGAAACUUAAAGGAAUUGACUAGCUAGUGGCAUUAUCAUAAGAAUCGAAAAUAUGGAGGGCUAAUCACAUUCCGACACGUGGCUCUUAAAAAUCAUAUCUGAAAAAUUAUUGAGAGCAUUUUUGCUCACCACUUUAACUCAAGGUGUACACAACCCUUCCCAAAAGCUGACACAUGUCCGUGGGUUUAACUAUAGUUAACUCUUUAUUUUUUUUAUUUAUUUGAUGACAUUAUUAUGAGAGAGAAACAAUGGUUUAAUAAAUUUUUUCCUGAUUUACCCUUUUUCUAUUAAUUAACCCAUGCACAACGUAGAUUUCAGCUGGGCCGUGCCAGGCCCUGGGGGAGUUCUGUGAUGACUGAUAAAGCUUCUGGUGCCAAGCGCACACCAGUGAUGGGUCCCGGGGGUCGGGCCCAUCACGAGAAAUGACAAUAUUAUGUUGGAAUGUGCAUGGUUUGGGCAACCCACGUACAUUUCGAGCUCUGAGAUUCCUUCUCAGAGAUAAAAAGCCUCGCAUCAUCUUUUUGUCGGAGACUAAAAAGACGGUGCACCAGAUGGAGUGUGUGCAACGGCAGUUGGGUAUGAUGGGGUGUUUCAGUGUUGGGAGAGAAGGCAGGGCGGGGGGUUUAGCGUUAUUAUGGCAGCACGGAGUGGAUGUAUCUAUUCUGUCUUAUUCGCCAGGGCAUAUUGA